UACGGGGGGGGGCAAGCGUUGUUCGGAAUUACUGGGCGUAAAGGGCUCGUAGGCGGCCAACUAAGUCAGACGUGAAAUCCCUCGGCUUAACCGGGGAACUGCAUCUGAUACUGGAUGGCUUGAGUUCGGGAGAGGGAUGCGGAAUUCCAGGUGUAGCGGUGAAAUGCGUAGAUAUCGGGAGGAACACCUGUGGCGAAAGCGGCGCACUGGACCACAUCUGACGCUGAGGCGCGAAAGCUAGGGGAGCAAACAGG
rnacentral:rRNA from 1 species